rnacentral:rRNA from 1 species
UACGAAGGGGGCUAGCGUUGUUCGGAAUUACUGGGCGUAAAGCGCGCGCAGGCGGUUCUUCAAGUCAGUGGUGAAAGCCCGGAGCUCAACUCCGGAACUGCCAUUGAAACUGUGGAACUUGAGGAUGAGAGAGGUGAGUGGAAUUCCCAGUGUAGAGGUGAAAUUCGUAGAUAUUGGGAAGAACACCGGUGGCGAAGGCGGCUCACUGGACCACAACUGACGCUGAGGCGCGAAAGCUAGGGGAGCAAACAGGG